AGUGAACGCUGGCGGUAGGCCUAACACAUGCAAGUCGAACGGCAGCACAGUAAGAGCUUGCUCUUACGGGUGGCGAGUGGCGGACGGGUGAGGAAUACAUCGGAAUCUACUUUUUCGUGGGGGAUAACGUAGGGAAACUUACGCUAAUACCGCAUACGACCUACGGGUGAAAGCAGGGGAUCUUCGGACCUUGCGCGAUUGAAUGAGCCGAUGUCGGUUUAGCUAGUUGGCGGGGUAAAGGCCCACCAAGGCGACGAUGCGUAGCUGGUCUGAGAGGAUGAUCAGCCACACUGGAACUGAGACACGGUCCAGACUCCUACGGGAGGCAGCAGUGGGGAAUAUUGGACAAUGGGCGAAAGCCUGAUCCAGCCAUGCCGCGUGAGUGAAGAAGGCCUUCGGAUUGUAAAGCCCUUUUGUUGGGAAAGAAAAGCAGCAGGUUAAUACCCCGCUGUUCUGACGGUACCCAAAGAAUAAGCACCGGCUAACUUCGUG
rnacentral:rRNA from 1 species